GGAAAAGGGCCUGGAGUUAAUAAAGGAUGUGGCAGAUCUCCUGAAGCUGCAGAUGAGUGCCUUCGAUGAUGUCAACAUGCUGGGACCAGCUGUGACCUUCAGAGUGCACUCAAACCUCCAAAACAUUUCAACUGCGGAUGUUGCCAAAGCAGCAGCCAUGAACAAAGAGAAGCUUGAAAAAACAACUGGGCUGAGAAUUCUGCAGACUGGUGUGGGGGAGGUAAG